rnacentral:sRNA from 1 species
UGGAUGGGAGAUCAAGAAUAAUGAAAGAUGUUGAUAUGGUUCAAAUUACCUAGAACUACUCUCUCAAAUAAGAGAUCAAUUGCAGUACUCUAGGAUCAAAUUCACGGAGUUCUUUUGUUCAAACAGUGAGUUAAAUAUUGAGAUUAAGCUAGCAGGGUAUGAGUGAAAAUAAAAGAGAGCAAAGUAAAAAGACAGCAGAUUGAUUGUGUUGUAAACGAUUUAAUAAAGAGGUAGGAACAAGGUAUUCUCAGGAAACUAUUGGUUAGUAGAUCUAAUGAAAGCUAGGUUGUUAUCGAACCAUUCUUAAACUCAAACUCUAAUUAUGGAAUAACCGGUGGGCGUGCCGCAAAACUCCCUAUAUCUAUAGCUAAUAAUAACCAGAGAAGCCGAGAAAGUACCAACCUAAAUAUGCAUUCUUAACGAGUUCAAUUGUUCAUCUUAGUAAUAGGCCAAUUCUUAUUACACACCUAUAAACCAGACUCAUCAAAUAAUAGAUCCAACUAUAGAUACUUAUGGCGGGCAUAUCUAUUGUCUUGAUUCAAGAUCUAGUUAAUUACUCUAGAUCUAGCAUUAGGCAUAAUUAAAGUUGAAGAAUUCUACAGAUAACCUAGCAAAGGGGACAAUCUACUAAACCAUAUGAAUCCCUAAUGAGAAACCCUAUUCCUAACAAGUAGACUACUCAGACAUAUUGAAUGAAACAAACAACAUAACUGAGAUAUAAAGAAUAAACACAGUAAAUAGAGAAGCGGAAGGAAGGGAUCUCUUCACCGUAUAUAGAUCUGAAUGAAACUCUGAAGACAAUCGAUGAAUAGCUUAUGUCUCUCACAAUAAGGUUUGCA